GCGGUUUGUUCCUGUGUUCAUGCAGAUGAUGAUGAUGAUGAGCUGUUUGUGCUGCGGAGGAACUGAAGGGCUGCAGAUCGCUCCGUCUGGAGCCAUGAAGCUCCACGGUCUGCAGCGAUGCUGCGAGGCGAUGCUGUGAGUGUGUACCGGGUCGCCAUGGUACCGAAACACAAGUCCAACCCUCCAGAACCGCAGCAGAAUGUUCUGAAGCUGACUGGAUGAAGCUUUGAUCUUCUGCUCAAAACCAAAGAGGCGUUUUUAUUUCUGGACCUCAGUGAAACGUGUUCUCUCUGAACCAGUUCCUAUGGAUUCGGUUCUGGUUCUCCCUGCGUCUCUGCAGCGUCACACAGCGGCUGAGCUCUGCCGGUUCUGUGAGGGAUUCUUCCUGCAGAAUCUGGACCGGCUGCUGGACAGAGAGGACUUCCACCGGCUGUUGCUAGGCGACACCAGUAAGGGAGGGCCGUCUGGGUCGGGACGGGACCAGAACCCGGACCUCCUGCCGGUUCUGAGGAGCCUGGAAGCGGCGCUGAUCCACAGACUUUCUGAGCUGCAUGCUGCAUGUAGAGGGCAGAAGUUCUGACCGGAUGGACCGGAUCGUCUCUGGUUGGUACCACAAACAAACAUCUGGUUCUACUUUUCACAUCUGCAUUUCAUCUGAAGCAGGUUCUGAUCGGUAAAAUAUCUACAACAUAAAACCCGGUUAAACCUCCAACCGUCCUCUAAUGACUCUCUACUGUUACAGUAAAGUUUCCUUCUGCUUAUUACGUCUAAACAUUUUAAUUCACACCUUUAUUUUUCAUUCAAGCUGCUCCUUUUCCAUGUUCAUGAAUGGAAAAGUUGCAGCUGCAACGAUUUUGCACCAGUUUGAAUUUAUUGCUGUUUGGUAUUUUAAAUAAUCUGAAUUAUCAUCAUGGUUCAUGAAAGAUGACCCAGCUGGUUAUUAGGUUUACUUUUACACAAAGCGCAGAUUAAUAAACUACUACAUAAUAUUAACACUUUAAAUGUUGGGAUCAAUCACAUCGUUAACAAUCCCAGUUAUUAGAAAUAAUUUCCCAUCGUGCCGUUUUCACUCACUCAGUUAAAACUGAAUAUUUCUGAAUAAAUAAACUACAUGAAGUAUGAAACCUGCCAAAGUCAACAGAUUUAUUCCUUUAGCACUGAAUUUGUUCACAGUAACAUCACAAGGGAAUACAUUGCCAGUGGUUCUCCUGCUCCGAGUCCGUUCAGUGUGCUCUGGAUUCCCGCGGUAGAAAAAGCGAAGGAUGGAAGGUAUUGCUUUAGGUUUCCUCUGAACCGAGUCCGUCUCCGAGAAACAUGAGUGAUUAGGAUGCAAGUUUACUGUGUGCUUACAGUAAUCAGAUAUAAAGGGGAGGAAGGAAGAGGCUGGCAAAAGAAUGAAUUAAUAUCAAAAAUAACAAAUCUGAAGGUAAAAUUAAUGAGAAAGCUCAGAUAAAAAAAUGCAUAAAAACCUAGACACAAAAAGGGAACGGGUGAACAUUUCAACAGCGACAUGCAAAGAAAAGACGAAUGCUGAA